rnacentral:misc_RNA from 1 species
UCCGAGUUGACCCCGGCAGUCUCCUAUGAGUCCCCACCAUCACGUGCUGGCAACAUAGAACGAGGGUUGCGCUCGUUGCGGGACUUAACCCAACAUCUCACGACACGAGCUGACGACAACCAUGCACCACCUGUGAACCGGCCCCAAAGGGGAAACCACAUUUCUGCGGCGGUCCGGUCCAUGUCAAGCCUUGGUAAGGUGGGGAUGACGUCCCAAGGUUGGUU